GUGCCAGCAGCCGCGGUAAUACCGGCAGCACGAGUGAUGGCCGAUCUUAUUGGGCCUAAAGCGUCCGUAGCCGGCCGAGCAAGUCCGUUGGGAAAUCCACGCGCCCAACGCGUGGGCGUCCAGCGGAAACUGUUCGGCUUGGGACCGGAAGGCUCGAAGGGUACGUUCGGGGUAGGAGUGAAAUCCCAUAAUCCCGCACGGACCACCGAUGGCGAAAGCACUUCGAGAAAACGGAUCCGACAGUGAGGGACGAAAGCCAGGGUCUCCAACCGGAUUAGAUACCCCAGUAGUCC
rnacentral:rRNA from 1 species